rnacentral:rRNA from 1 species
GAUGAACGCUGGCGGCGUGCCUAAUAAAUGCAAGUCGAGCGAACGGACGAGAAGCUUGCUUCUCUGAUGUUAGCGGCGGACGGGUGAGUAACACGUGGAUAACCUACCUAUAAGACUGGGAUAACUUCGGGAAACCGGAGCUAAUACCGGAUAAUAUUUUGAACUGCAUGGUUCAAAAGUGAAAGACGGUCUUGCUGUCACUUAUAGAUGGAUCCGCGCUGCAUUAGCUAGUUGGUAAGGUAACGGCUUACCAAGGCAACGAUGCAUAGCCGACCUGAGAGGGUGAUCGGCCACACUGGAACUGAGACACGGUCCAGACUCCUACGGGAGGCAGCAGUAGGGAAUCUUCCGCAAUGGGCGAAAGCCUGACGGAGCAACGCCGCGUGAGUGAUGAAGGUCUUCGGAUCGUAAAACUCUGUUAUUAGGGAAGAACAUAUGUGUAAGUAACUGUGCACAUCUUGACGGUACCUAAUCAGAAAGCCACGGCUAACUACGUG